rnacentral:rRNA from 1 species
GGGCCCGCACAAGCGGUGGAGCAUGUGGUUUAAUUCGAUGAUACGCGAGGAACCUUACCAGGGCUUAAAUGUAGAUUGACAGAUUUGGAAACAGAUUUUUCUUCGGACAAUUUACAAGGUGCUGCAUGGUUGUCGUCAGCUCGUGCCGUGAGGUGUCAGGUUAAGUCCUAUAACGAGCGCAACCCCUACCGUUAGUUGCCAGCGAGUCAUGUCGGGGACUCUAGCGGAACUGCCGGCGUAAGCCGCGAGGAAGGUGGGGAUGACGUCAAAUCAUCACGGCCCUUACGUCCUGGGCUACACACGUACUACAAUGCUACGGACAAAGGGCAGCAAGUUCGCGAGGACAAGCAAAUCCCAUAAACCGUGGCUCAGUUCAGAUCGUAGGCUGCAACUCGCCUACGUGAAGGCGGAAUCGCUAGUAAUCGC